UAUUAGCUCAAUUGCUUAGAGUGUUGUGCUAAUAAUGUAAAAAUCAUAGGUUCGAUUCCUACAUA
rnacentral:tRNA from 1 species